rnacentral:rRNA from 1 species
GAGUUUGAUCCUGGCUCAGGAUUAACGCUAGAGGCAGGCAUAAUACAUGCAAGUUGAACGGCAGCACAGGUAGCAAUACUGGGUGGCGAGUGGCGCACGGGUGCGUAACACGUAUGCAACCUACCCUAUACAGGCGAAUAACCUUUAGAAAUGAGGGCUAGUACGCCGUAGUAUUACAGAUGGGCAUCUAUUUGUAAUUAAAGAUUUAUCGGUAUAGGAUGGGCAUGCGUCCCAUUAGUUAGUUGGUAAGGUAACGGCUUACCAAGACGAUGAUGGGUAGGGGAUCUGAGAGGACUUACCCCCACACUGGUACUGAGACACGGACCAGACUCCUACGGGAGGCAGCAGUAAGGAAUAUUGGGCAAUGGCCGCGAGGCUGACCCAGCCAUGCCGCGUGCAGGAAGACGGCCUUAUGGGUUGUAAACUGCUUUUAUACGGGAAUAAUAGAGUGUACGCGUACAUUUAUGCAAGUAUCGUAUGAAUAAGCAUCGGCUAACUCCGUGCCAGCAGCCGCGGUAAUACGGAGGAUGCGAGCGUUAUCCGGAUUUAUUGGGUUUAAAGGGUGCGCAGGCGGAUUUAUAAGUCAGUGGUGAAACACUCCGGCUCAACUGGGGGACUGCCAUUGAUACUGUAGGUCUUGAGUUAAGAGGGCGUUGGCGGAAUGUGUCAUGUAGCGGUGAAAUGCAUAGAUAUGACACAGAACACCGAUAGCGAAGGCAGCUGACGAUACUUUAACUGACGCUCAUGCACGAGAGCGUGGGGAUCAAACAGGAUUAGAUACCCUGGUAGUCCACGCUGUAAACGAUGAUCACUAGCUGUAGGCGAUACACUGUCUGUGGUUAAGCGAAAGCGAUAAGUGAUCCACCUGGGGAGUACGUCGGCAACGAUGAAACUCAAAGGAAUUAGACGGGGGCCCGCACAAGCGGAGGAGCAUGUGGUUUAAUUCGAAGCAACGCGAAGAACCUUACCAAGGCUUGACAUAUACUUGACGGUUUGUGAAAGCAGACUUUUUCUUCGGAGACAGGUAUACAGGUGGUGCAUGGUUGUCGUCAGCUCGUGUCGUGAGAUGUUGGGUUAAGUCCCGCAACGAGCGCAACCCUUAUUGUUAGUUGCCAUCAUUAAGUUGGGCACUCUAGCGAGACUGCCGGUGACAAACCGGAGGAAGGUGGGGAUGACGUCAAAUCAUCAUGCCCCUUAUGUCUUGGGCUACACACGUGCUACAAUGGCCGGUACAACGGGUUGCGAAGGAGUGAUCUGGAGCUAAUCCUACAAAACCGGUCUCAGUUCGGAUUGCAGGCUGCAAUUCGCCUGCAUGAAGUCGGAAUCGCUAGUAAUCGUGGAUCAGCAUGCCGCGGUGAAUACGUUCCCGGGCCUUGUACACACCGCCCGUCACACCACGAAAGUUGGCAACACCCGAAGCCGGUGGACUAACUUGUCUGGAAGUUAGAGGUUAGAAAUGAGAAGUUAGAGCAUGCGGAAAUGCAAGUUGAGAAAUGGACUAGCAUUUCGGCUCAAGUUCCAGCUUCCAACGUCUAAUUUCCAACUUCCAGACGAGAGGUAGCCGUUUAAGGUGGGGUCAAUGAUUGGGGUGAAGUCGUAACAAGG